AUGGAUGGGAAACUACCAGACGGAGAUGAUAUUGGACAAAUCAAAAUUAGUAAAAGAAAGAAAACGCUAGAAGUUCAACUAGGAAUCUUGGAAUCCUAUGUGGUCUCUGGCAAGGGUACGUCCAACGACAACGAGCAGCCCAAACUGAAGCAUGUCGGUGAGCCGGGGGCUGGGCCAACCACUGUUGUUUGUCUACCUCCUUCCCCGUGCAGAGAAGUUACCCUGUUGCGGGCUGACCUGGAGGUGGCUCCGACACAAUUGCAGGACCACCACGCAAGCUUCCUCAAGGAGCUCAUGCCCAACGAUACUAAAAGAAAAAACUGCUCCAGUUUUGAACUACUUAUUCAGUCAUGCUAUUACCGAGUGAAAAAUGGAGUGAAAGAGUAUUGA
rnacentral:rRNA from 1 species